CAAGGAGGUUAUAUUAGAAGGAGAGUGAACACUCUGCUUGAUACAAAAUUAACAUCCCCAGGAUAGCAGUUCGAUCAGAGAAAAAUGAUAAAAAUAUAAAGAAACCGCCACUUGACAUGGCCCUCUGAUGUACCGGGCUGUUACCGCGAGCAGUUCGGGCUACUAGAUAAAUCGCAUAUGUCACGUGGUUGUUAUCAGUGAGUGGUUCGUUAAAGUUCAGGUGUAUUUUUGGUAACAAUGCAGUAUUUAGGUGCUUAUGAUAUGGAAAAAGAUUGGACGCGCAAUUUCAAAAUC
rnacentral:lncRNA from 1 species